rnacentral:rRNA from 1 species
UACGUAGGGUGCAAGCGUUAAUCGGAAUUACUGGGCGUAAAGCGUGCGCAGGCGGUUAUGUAAGACAGUUGUGAAAUCCCCGGGCUCAACCUGGGAACUGCAUCUGUGACUGCAUAGCUAGAGUACGGGUAGAGGGGGAUGGAAUUCCGCGUGUAGCAGUGAAAUGCGUAGAUAUGCGGAGGAACACCGAUGGCGAAGGCAAUCCCCUGGACCUGUACUGACG